CGUCUAUAUACGUAUAGCAUAUCAAUAAGCGGAGGAAAAGAAACUAACAAGGAUUCCCCUAGUAACGGCGAGUGAAGCGGGAAGAGCUCAAAUUAGAAAUCUUCAAGGGUUUCCCUUGACGAAUUGUAGUUUAAAGAAGUGUUUUCUGUUAGAGAGGUGGUAAAAGUUCUUUGGAAUAGGACAUCAUAGAGGGUGAGAAUCCCGUAUUUGAUCACUUUCUACUAACGUUGUGAUACACUUUCAAAGAGUCGGAUUGUUUGGGAAUGCAGUCCAAAAUGGGUGGUAAAUUUCAUCUAAAGCUAAAUAUUGGCGAGAGACCGAUAGCGAACAAGUACCGUGAGGGAAAGAUGAAAAGAACUUUGAAAAGAGAGUUAAACAGUACGUGAAAUUGUCAAAAGGGAAGCGUUUGACACCAGUGUUGUUUUUCCGAAAAUCAAUUAAGAAUGGCCGGAUUUUAAGUUUCAUGACCUUAAAAGCUUGUUUCUUAUUUUUCUUGUCUUUCUUAAUGCACUUUUCGGUUAACAAGUCAACAUCAAUUUCUUUUGUUGUAAAAGGUUAAGAGGAAGGUGGCUUUACUUUCGGGUAAAGUGUUUAUAGCCUUUUAACUCUGCAAUCGGAGAGAUUGAGGUCUGCAGCGUAGAUCCUUCGGGGCUAGAUACGUUUGUGCUAAGUUAUAGCUUUUCAUAGACAACUUGUUGACUAUGUUUAGUCUUGUAGCUUACUCGCAUGCUGCUAUUUUACCUACGCUUAGGAUGUUGAUAUGCAUGACUGAUAU
rnacentral:rRNA from 1 species